rfam:Aphanizomenon flos-aquae 2012/KM/D3 mira_44_len:31337, whole genome shotgun sequence.
GUCAGUAACCCAGCCCUAAAGGGACUGGGCUUGCAAGAGUAUCAAGCAAGCCGUACUGACCAGACCACCCUGAGCGAAGUCGAAGGGUAGCCGUUAUUUUAUUUGAGUCACGACACCCACCGAAUGCGUAGCCCCUUCGGGGUUCAGCAGUCGCUCAUGGGGGAAACCCCCAAGACCGCGCUGCUUCACUAGUUCCCUGCUCUGUCAUUUGCAAUUAAACAGUUUUAAGGUCACUGAAACAGUGUUGCAAGUCUAAAAAGCUCUUAUAACAGGUCGUUCGCGCCAGCGUGCCGGAGGCAUCUAGCUAACAUUAC